UACGGGGGGAGCAAGCGUUGUUCGGAUUUACUGGGCGUAAAGGGCGCGUAGGCGGCCACCGCAAGUCGACUGUGAAAUCUCCGGGCUUAACCCGGAAAGGUCAGCCGAUACUGCGGGGCUAGAGUGCAGAAGGGGCAACUGGAAUUCUCGGUGUAGCGGUGAAAUGCGUAGAUAUCGAGAGGAACACCUGCGGCGAGGGCGGGUUGCUGGGCCGACACUGACGCUGACAGCGCGAAAGCUAGGGGAGCGAACGGG
rnacentral:rRNA from 1 species